GAUGAACGCUGGCGGCGUGCCUAAUACAUGCAAGUCGAGCGAAUUGAUUAGAAGCUUGCUUCUAUGACGUUAGCGGCGGACGGGUGAGUAACACGUGGGCAACCUGCCUGUAAGACUGGGAUAACUUCGGGAAACCGAAGCUAAUACCGGAUAGGAUCUUCUCCCUCAUGGGAGAUGAUUGAAAGAUGGUUUCGGCUAUCACUUACAGAUGGGCCCGCGGUGCAUUAGCUAGUUGGUGAGGUAACGGCUCACCAAGGCAACGAUGCAUAGCCGACCUGAGAGUGUGAUCGGCCACACUGGGACUGAGACACGGCCCAGACUCCUACGGGAGGCAGCAGUAGGGAAUCUUCCGCAAUGGACGAAAGUCUGACGGAGCAACGCCGCGUGAGUGAUGAAGGCUUUCGGGUCGUAAAACUCUGUUGUUAGGGAAGAACAAGUACGAGAGUAACUGCUCGUACCUUGACGGUACCUAACCAGAAAGCCACGGCUAACUACGUGCCAGCCGCCGCCGUAAGAC
rnacentral:rRNA from 1 species